CUACGGAGGGUGCAAGCGUUACUCGGAAUCACUGGGCGUAAAGCGCGCGCAGGCGGCUAUUUAAGUUGGAUGUGAAAGCCUAUGGCUCAACCAUAGAACUGCAUCCAAAACUAUUUAGCUAGAGUGUGGGAGAGGAGAUGGAAUUAGUUGUGUAGGGGUAAAAUCCGUAGAGAUAACUAGGAAUACCAAAAGCGAAGGCAAUCUUCUGGAACACUACUGACGCUGAGGCGCGAAAGCGUGGGGAGCAAACAGGAUUAGAAACCCUAGUAGUCC
rnacentral:rRNA from 1 species